GGGGGGUCACGACAAACCUCGGGAGUUUGCAAGCACAGGCACACUCGAAGCUCGAAGAGGAUGUCACGAAUUCGCAAGCCACCCUUGUAUAAACAAACGUCUGUUGAGAACUUUGGUCUAUUGGCAGCAGAUUCUGGAAUGCAACAUUGACUGUUUUAUUAUGCUUGGCUGAUGUUAACAUUGAAUUUUGGAUUUAUUGUAAUGUGGCACUUAAACAUUAGAUUUACUUUGGAAUUUUACAAUGAGUAUAAUGGAACUAUACAAAUGCAAUCUAACUGUUUUUGUUAUUCCACCAUGAUCUCCAAAAUACCUCAAAAUGGAAAAGGGCUUUCACGCUUAUCUGCACCUGGGCUUCCACAUCCAGUCUUAUCUGCACCUGGAUUUCAUCAUUGGAUGGUGCCAGGUCUUGGAUUUCAUGAUUCUUUGCUGUCAGAGCCUGAUGCCGAUGACAUAAAACACCUUAAAGCAUACACGAUGGUUCCUCCAACUGCCAGAGCAACUACUUCACCCAGGAGAAAUCUCGACAACAACGAUCCCACCCCAUGA
rnacentral:lncRNA from 1 species